CUCGCAGCCCCUGUCCUCCCCGCAGCGCGCGCGGGGCUUCUGGGCCGGCGGGGCCGACCGGGUGCGGCGGCCUCUGGUGGCGGGUCCGGGGUCCCGCAGGGCGCAAGGCGGCUCAGGGGCCGGGCGGGUGCAGGGACGGCUUGAUGAAGUCAAAAACCCCGAGGUGUGCGGACUGCCGGUGCUCGGUCGGGUCCUGAGCCUGGACAGGGACCCGUGCGGCUGAGACCCGAGUGGAAGGGGACGUCGGGCAGAGGAAAGGCGGGUGCAGCGGUGCCGAGGCCCAUCGGAAGAAGCUAGGGGAGCCCGGGGCGGGGGGCGGCUCGCAGGCCAGGGCGGUGCUGGGGCAGCAUCCCGUGCGAGGCGUCACCCCCUGGCCGGCGGACUGUGCAGGCAGGGAGGCCGACUCUUCUGGCAAAGUAGUGGCCCCGAGCCCAGGCAGAGGACUGGGGAGAGUAAAUCCCGGCGCCGAGAGGGCCAGAGCUUUCGGAUUUUGUUCACCGACGUGUCCCCGCCCGUGUCUUGCGAGCGGUCGUUACUCGGUGCUCAGUGGAAGGAAGGGGCACCCCGCCCCAGACAUUGUUUGAACAGGAGCCGGUGGGGGUUAGCCCCUCCGGGCCCAGGUGGAACCCAGGCUGUCUACCCAGGAAUGUACCUCUGUGUGCAGGUAAGGCUCAGGCUUUUGCUUUGGCCACAGGCUCUGGGUGAGCUCAGGUGGCCCUCCCUUCACACUGACCAGUCUGCAUGGGACUGGGGCUCUCAGAGGACCCAGCCGGCAGCUGGCAUGGUGUGCCAGCUGUAGACGUGCCUGUAGACGCAGGGUGGCCUGUAGACACAGGGUGGCCUGUAGACACAGCAGCCAAGUUGCCCUGGCAGGCGGUGUGGCUGCCGGUGUCUCGCAACUCUGGCCUCUCAUCUCCGGGCUCCGGCCCUGCAGGCAUCAGGUCUGGGGUGUCGGGACAUUGCCAUCCCUAUGUGGUCAGGGAAUUGACGAAGUUCAGCCUGGGGUCACGUGGGUCCGGGCCAGGCAGGCUGGGCCUGCUGAGGUGUGUCGGCAUCCCCAGGCAGCUUGUGGCCACCUUUGGAGCAACCUUCCAGCCUUCCUUCCGGGUGCUGGCCUUGGCUCACUCCUUUGUCAGCCUUAGUCCUGUCAGCCGCUUUGUCGGACUGGGCUGAGGGUCCCUGAGACACGGCUGAUCUCGGCUCCCCCGGAGUCCUGCCCUGAAUACCUGGGAUUGGCAUUUGCCUGGGAGAACACUCCAGUUUGCCUGUGCCGUUGCAGUGAAAGGGCCCCGACACUCCUUGGGGGGCAGGGGUGGGUCACUUCCGCUGUGCUGUGGGGCUUCCUGAGUGAGGUGGGCUCUCAGCAGCUUGGGUGGGCAACAAGGGCCUGUCAGGUGCCCCCUGCCCCCCCCAAUGCCAGCCUGCACUCUGCAGUCCUGGUGGAGGCUGGGGUUGCAUCCUGGCUUCUAUCUGGGUUCCCCAGCUAAACACGAGAUCGCGCAUCCCAGCUCCCUGCCCCUGGUGCAGCCACGCCUGUGUGUGGGCACCGUGGACAGCCCACAUGACUUCCAGGAGCUGCGCCCUCCUGCUGUUCCUGCUUCCUGCCAAUUCCAGCUGGAGCCUUGGGGACACGUUGACCCUGAGAAAGGACCUUGAGGAGGGAGCCUCCACCUGGACGGUGCAGAUGGUGAUGAAAUCCCCAGACUGCCUUCUCUGGACUUUGUACUUGGCAGAGAAAUAAAUACGUGUUUUUUCCCAAA